CCUUACAGGUUGUCAUGAAGCAACCUCUGUAAGACAGAUGAGCCUCGCAUCACAUCACAUUGCAUUGUGUCACAAUUACAAACCUGGGUAGCUUUAGGCUUCCUUGGGUGGCUGGAUGGGAAGUAGGCCUUGGCCUGCAAACUGUAUUAGUCCUGCACAUGCCGAAAGAAAAAUAAAAAGAAAGUCAGAAGAGAGAUGGGAAAAGUAUGUCAGGGAAAGAAGGAGGUUCAGAAAACCAGCUUUGCACAGCACUUGCUGCUCCCUCUCCACCAGUAGCUUAUGAAGUAACCCCUGCCUCAAUUAUACCUUGGGAAUGGAGCAUUGAACAGAAAAAGAUGUCUGGCAACCUCUCCUUUUUUUGGACACUCUUAUACAUUAUUUUAUAACUCACGAAUUUUAUUAUUUUACCUAUGUGGAGAGAGGAGCAUGUCGAUGUUAUCAUGUUCCAUCUGAAACCUUCCUAUGUUUUCUUCUGUCAGAGCAAGAAGGGGAUGUGGAUGCCAGACUUCCUUCAUCAUUAUCUGCCCACUUCUACCCAUUAGGAUUUCUCUGCAGAAAAACUAGGAAUUAAAAUCUUAUUUCCAUGUAAAGUUGCAAAUAAACUGAUAUCAUCUGCCUAUUUAUUUCUCUGGCCCUAACUCCACUUUUAGUAGCCAUGCUCUUGCAUCCCCAGUCUCUGUGAGCUACACCAACCCCUU